UUGAGCUCAAUAAAGAUUCUGAAGGGCGGGUUUUAGACAGACUUAUUGCUGGAGAAUUUUUGGUGGACCUGGCAACCCUGACAGCAUACGUUGAGACUGAAGAGCGUGUACAGAGAAGAGAGAGCACGCAGGGAGUUUUAGCAGCAGCUGCGGGACCUGAAUUCAGAUCACUGGACGGAUUUCUGUCUCUCAGCACAAGUCCUUCUAUAACAGAUGGAAGGUAAAGAAGAGAGGGAACCAUGGGCCCGCCCUCAAGGCACGGCACAGCACACACCUCCCCAGCAGUGCCCAGCUAAACACCCUGUAACUGAUGAACAAUGGAUGGAGGCAGGCCUGAAGUCAACAGGUCCUUCUGAAACAGAUGGAAGGUAAAGAAGAGAGGUAAUCACGGCACGGCACAGCACGCACCUCCCCAGCAGUGCCCAGCUAAACACCCUGUAACUGAUGAACAUUUAGCUCAUGCGCAGAAUGCUGUAAUGGAUGCAGGCAGGCCUGAAGUCAACAGGUCAGUGAUUUACAGUCAUCAUUUAAAAUAUUUUUAUAUAUAAAAAUUUCCAACAACAAGAUAACAGUUACCUUUAUUUUCACAGACUAGUACUUUUCACACACUUUGAAAAGAAAAUAAACUCAAAACAAACAUUUAAUUUAUUGUCAGUUGAGUAUUUAAUUAUUAAUAUUGUAUUCAAACCAUUGUUGAAACAGAAUCAGGUCAUGUCAGCACCUCUGAAUGGAAAUCUU